rnacentral:rRNA from 1 species
GAUGAACGCUAGCGGCAGGCUUAACACAUGCAAGUCGAGGGGCAGCAUAAACAUUGCUUGCAAUGUUUGAUGGCGACCGGCGCACGGGUGCGUAACGCGUAUGUAACCUACCUCAAACAGGGGCAUAACACUGAGAAAUUGGUACUAAUUCCCCAUAACACCUUGGGAGGCAUCUCCUGGGGUUGAAAGUUCCGGCGGUUUGAGAUGGACAUGCGUUGUAUUAGCUAGUUGGUGAGGUAACGGCUCACCAAGGCGACGAUACAUAGGGGGACUGAGAGGUUAACCCCCCACAUUGGUACUGAGACACGGACCAA